rnacentral:rRNA from 1 species
AUUGAACGCUGGCGGCAUGCCUAACACAUGCAAGUCGAACGGCAGCACAGCAGUAGCAAUACUGUGGGUGGCGAGUGGCGGACGGGUGAGGAAUACAUAGGAAUCUACCUCGUUGUGGGGGAUAACGUAGGGAAACUUACGCUAAUACCGCAUACGACCGAGAGGUGAAAGUGGGGGACCGCAAGGCCUCACGCGAUGAGAUGAGCCUAUGUCUGAUUAGCUAGUUGGCGGGGUAAAGGCCCACCAAGGCGACGAUCGGUAGCUGGUCUGAGAGGAUGAUCAGCCACACUGGAACUGAGACACGGUCCAGACUCCUACGGGAGGCAGCAGUGGGGAAUAUUGGACAAUGGGCGCAAGCCUGAUCCAGCAAUGCCGCGUGUGUGAAGAAGGCCCUCGGGUUGUAAAGCACUUUUGUACGGGAAGAAAACCCAUUUAUUAAUACUGGAUGGGAAUGACGGUAC